rnacentral:tRNA from 1 species
GCGAGUGUAGUGUAAUGGCAGCAUGUGAGGCUUCCAACCUCUUGGUACGAGUUCAAAUCUCGUCAUUCGCUC